rnacentral:rRNA from 1 species
CAGUCGCCGCGGGAAUACGUAGGGUGCAAGCGUUAAUUGGAAUUACUGGGCGUAAAGCGUGCGCAGGCGGUUUGUUAAGACAGAUGUGAAAUCCCCGGGCUCAACCUGGGAACUGCAUUUGUGACUGGCAAGCUAGAGUCUGGCAGAGGGGGGUGGAAUUCCGCGUGUAGCAGUGAAAUGCGUAGAUAUGCGGAGGAACACCGAUGGCGAAGGCAGCCCCCUGGGCCAACACUGACGCUCAUGCACGAAAGCGUGGGGAGCAAACAGGAUUAGAUACCCCUGUAGUCCCUGUCUCUUAUAC